rnacentral:rRNA from 1 species
GCCAGACUCCUACGGGAGGCAGCAGUGAGGAAUAUUGGUCAAUGGGCUUACGCCUGAACCAGCCAAGUCGCGUGAGUGAAGAAGUAUCUCGGUAAGUAAAGCUCUAUCAGCGGGGAAGAAGGAAGACGGUACCCGACUAAGAAGCCCCGGCUAACUACGUGCCAGCAGCCGCGGUAAUACGUAGGGGGCGAGCGUUAUCCGGAUUUACUGGGUGUAAAGGGAGCGUAGACGGCGUCGCAAGUCUGAAGUGAAAGCCCGUGGCUCAACCGCGGAACCGCUUUGGAAACUGCGAGGCUGGAGUGCUGGAGAGGUAAGCGGAAUUCCUGGUGUAGCGGUGAAAUGCGUAGAUAUCAGGAGGAACACCGGUGGCGAAGGCGGCUUACUGGACAGUGACUGACGUUGAGGCUCGAAAGCGUGGGGAGCGAACAGGAUUAGAUACCCCGGUAAUA